UUUGCAUUUUGGUGUAUAAGGAAGGGGUUACAGUACAUUCCUUCUAUUUUCUUGACUUUACUAUGCUAAAAUAUUAGCCAACGACGUACAGAGCAGCAAUUUAAUUCUUUUUCACUUUAGCAUAACGUUGUGGUUUUAAGACGAGAUGAGCAACAAAGCUUCUGCCCGUUUAAGUGAAAUUCGGGCUUUCUACGAAGGGAAGUAAAGUGGAAGAAAAUCAUUUCUUGGUAUAUAAGGCUAAAGGGGCGAUGAAGCAAGCUUGAUUACGGUUGAUCUACGACAGGUACAGAUAGUCGGUUUGGCGACCCUUCAGCAUAGGACUUCUACUCAGCUGUUUUGGAGAGCUCCGUUGUUCCGGAGUCUAAAUUGUUGUUACAGGUCUUAUGAUAUAUAUAUAUAUAUAUAUAUGUUUAUCCAGGGGUACGACGGGGCCCUGUCCCAUCAUAUUUUGCUAUUCGUACUUUUAGAGGUCUGUACACAUAUGUGUGGGUUGUGUAUGGGUUCUGUUCAGUUGUGUCUAACGAUGUGCUGUGGUAUGAUGUUCGUCUAUAGUGGCAGCCUUGUCGGCUUGCAUAUGAUAUUGAUAUGUGAUGGCAGCCUUGUCGGCUUGCGUAUUAUUUCAUGAUAUGAUCGGCUGUGACUCCUCAGGAGACAGUGUAUCUGAAUAUACAUAUAUGAUGACGCUAUGAACCUUCAGAGUUCUUUUGUAAAGUUCUAUAUUGUUCGUAG